UACGUAGGGGGCAAGCGUUGUCCGGAAUCAUUGGGCGUAAAGAGCGUGUAGGCGGCCCGAUAAGUCCGCCGUGAAAGUCCAGGGCUCAACCCUGGAAUGCCGGUGGAAACUGUCGGGCUGGAGUCCGGAAGAGGCGAGUGGAAUUCCUGGUGUAGCGGUGAAAUGCGCAGAUAUCAGGAGGAACACCAGUGGCGAAGGCAGCUCGCUGGGACGGUACUGACGCUGAGACGCGAAAGCGUGGGGAGCAAACAGG
rnacentral:rRNA from 1 species